rnacentral:rRNA from 1 species
GAUGAACGCUGGCGGCGUGCCUAAUACAUGCAAGUCGAGCGAACAGACGAGGAGCUUGCUCCUCUGACGUUAGCGGCGGACGGGUGAGUAACACGUGGAUAACCUACCUAUAAGACUGGGAUAACUUCGGGAAGCCGGAGCUAAUACCGGAUAAUAUAUUGAACCGCAUGGUUCAAUAGUGAAAGACGGUUUUGCUGUCACUUAUAGAUGGAUCCGCGCCGCAUUAGCUAGUUGGUAAGGUAACGGCUUACCAAGGCAACGAUGCGUAGCCGACCUGAGAGGGUGAUCGGCCACACUGGAACUGAGACACGGUCCAGACUCCUACGGGAGGCAGCAGUAGGGAAUCGUCCGCAAUGGGGUAAAACUUGACGGAGCAACGCCGCGUGAGUGAUGAAGGUCUUCGGAUCGUAAAACUCUGUUAUUAGGGAAGAACAAAUGUGUAAGUAACUAUGCACGUCUUGACGGUACCUAAUCAGAAAGCCACGGCUAACUACGUG